UCUCCCUUCAGCUUUCAGGAAGCUGCUGGCAGGAGAGUGGGGGUGCCUCUGCUGCCCUGGCAGCCCCAGCUGUCCCUGAAGGGGCUGAUGGCCAGGCCCCCUGCCCAGUUCCUGCAGGCCCACAGCUGCGGGCCCUGGGGCUGGGAUGAAUGCCAGGGGGAGCUGGGUGGCAGGACGAGCCCCAGGUGGGGCUGAGGGCAAGGGCGGGCAUGCGCUGGGGCUGCAGCCGCAUUUGGGGGAAGCUUGCAUUGAGGCCGGACCUGGACAAUGGAGCUGCCGCGGAGCACCGCCCACUGGGACCGGCCCGGCGGCCGCCCCGCGGAGGAGGUUAUGAAUAGGCAUGACUUCCUGAGAACUGUUCUGAGCAUGCAGUGUUGCAGGUCACGACUGCCUGGGCAGCGAUCCCCAACUUGUCUGCCGAGACUACGCGACAGCUCACAGCUGCCUGUGCAAUGAAAGCAAAGGCCAACUUCUCAGAGGGAAGAGGCAGGCUCCAAGCAGGAGGAUUAUGGCAGGGACCCAGCUUCGUCGCUCGGCUCUUUGAAGAUGGUGACGCUCGAAGAAUUGUUUGUCCCUCACCUGGACUGUAGAGAAAAGGACAGAACAGGGGUCUCGGGAAAACAUUUCCAUCCACGUUUCCACUCUACGUGGUGCUUGUGUGCCUUAUGUCCAGUAAUGUGGAUGCAUUAUGCAGAGUUACAGAAGAGUCUAGACUUUAUGUGAAGAGUGUGAAGAGAGAAGCGAGCAUUCUCCCUGCCUGGAAGUGCAGUAUGAUGAGAAAGGAAGUCACGUCUUUGGAAACCCAGUGCAACCCCUCAGUGCUGAGAGAGGAAAAAAGCUGCUGGACUUCUCAGGACCAGCAGGAACCAAUUUGCAGUGUCGCCCGGCAGCUCUUUUUUUACGUCUGUGCCUGCGAACCCACUGCCAUCUGCUCUUUUGUGGCUCUGCUUCCGACUCCUGCUGUGGCUUCUAGGGCCGUCCGCUUUGCUUUCUCAGGCACUGUGCGGGCCUUUUCCAGGCAUGCCUGAGGAUUUGAGAUGAGGUAGAAUGGGUGCUAUGGGAUUACUUUCAGUCAGGAUGUGGGAGUAUCGCUUUGGUGAUGAAGAUGAGCGAAGGAAGAUUAGAGAGGAUGUGGCUGCCAUUGAGUGAUGCCUCUUAAGGAUCAAAAGUGACCUGACCGCCCCCCCCCCCCGCCCCCAGCCCUGGAAAAGCUAAGAUGCAGAGCAGUGUUCCGAGUGGGCCCAAGGGAGCUGGAAGGAAGGGGCAUGCCCCAAGAAGGCGUGGAGCCUUGCGGGGAGCAGGUCGCUCGCAUCCAGGAGGAGCAGGGUGAGGUGUGUGGCGGACCUCGGCGUGGGGAGCCGUAGCCCGGCAGUCGGGACGGGAGAGCGGAGCAGGCAUUGCAGGAAGUUUUGGAGAGGAGAAGCUGAGCGGCAACGAGGAGCCCGAGCAGGUACGGUGCGGGCCUUUCCCAGGCGUGGCUGAGGAUUUGAGGUGAAGUAGAAUGGAUGCCACGGGCAGCCUCACAGCCACAAUGCUGGAGCGUGGCUUUGGCACGGUACAGGUGAUAAAGGCAACUGCGCUGACUGAAGGGAGAUUAGCACGGAUGCGGCUGCCAUUGAGGAUGGCUCUUGAGGACCGAUGGUGAUGCCCAGCAUUUGAACAAUGCUGAGCAGUGUUCCGAGUGGGCCCAAGGGAGCUGGAAGGAAGAAAGGGGCAUGCCCCAAGAAGGCGUGGAGCCUUGUGGGGAACAGGUCGCUCACAUCCAGGAGGAGCAGGGUGAGGUGUAUGGUGGACCUCGGUGUGGGGAGCCAUAGCAGUUGGGAUGGGAGAGCGGAGCAGGAAAAGGUUUUGCGGGAAGUUGUGGAGAGAAGCAGCUGAGUGCUGAGAAGAGCCUGAGCAGGUCUGCUGUGGGCCUUUCCCAGGCGUGGCUGAGACUUUCAGGCGCCACGGGCUUCCUCCCCAGGCAGGAUGUUGGCGUUUGGAGUUGUUGCGGUGCAGGUGAUGAAGGCAAAUGUGGUGAGCAAAGGAAGAUCAGUGUGGAUGCGGCUGCUGCAGAGGAUGGCUCUUGAGGAUCGGUGACCUACAGCACUGCCAAAGUUAAGUUGAGGGGCAAAGGGUGUUGGGGCAUCCUCAGUUUCUGUGUGUGUGUGUGUGCGUGCUGAUGUUCAGUGUAGAGUGGAGGGUUGUUCUGGAUGAGUGGUGUGUGUGAGGCAGAGGCAGUGGGGUGUGCAUGGCAGAAAGCGAGGGUGGGUGUCAGGCAGGGCAGCUCCAGCCUGUGUCUGUGUUGUUGUGUAGUUUAUGUGGUGUGUGUUGUAGCUGUGCUAUCUUUUGCUCAGGUCUUGAUGUUGCUCUUGCUCUUUGUGCUCAAAGAGCACAGCCUAUGCUCUGCAGCGGUAGCGUGGCAGGCAUCCAUUGUCUUUUGCCUGGCCAGACUCAUCAGCAUUGCUCCAAUGGACUACAUCUUGUUCUGCACAGGCAGCUGAAAGGGGCAGUCUGUCACUGUGACUCUGCAUUGUGGCCGUUUGCAGUGUAGUCAUAGUCGCGGCCACCGUCGAGGCCUCAUCGGCCGCACCUCUUCCGGGGCCGCUCUUGUUUUGCGUCUCGCUGGCGCCCUUUCAGGGUUUCCUUCCCUGCGUCAUCAUGGCCUCGGGUCUUUCUCGCCGGCCUCCUCUGCGUCAGUCUUCCGGGCUUUGCCGGUCCCUUUCCAUCCUGGGCAUUGAUGUUUGACUCUUUUCUGGGCUCGUCCAGAGCCUAGGCCCUACGAUGCCACCACUGUGUGGCUCUUCCUGGCCAGUAGUGUCUUAUGUGUGGGAAUAGGUUUUUUUUGUGUAGGGCUGUCCUCUGUGUUUGUGUCUGCUGUUUGUUUGUCUGUGUGUUUUUGGGGCUGGAGCUGCCUUGCCUGUGGGUGUUAGCCAUGGUGGUGUGUGGAGUGUGUCCGUGAUGGACUGGAGUGGUGGUGUUGCAGGCAUUGUCUGAGUGUGUGAUUUCUCUCUGUGCUUGCAGGUUUUGCGGGAAGUUGUGGAGAGAAGCAGCUGAGUGCUGAGAAGAGCCUGAGCAGGUCUGCUGUGGGCCUUUCCCAGGCGUGGCUGAGACUUUCAGGUGCCACGGGCUUCCUCCCCAGGCAUUGGAGUUGUUGUGGUGCAGGUGAUGAAGGCAAAUGUGGUGAGCAAAGGAAGAUCAGUGUGGAUGUGGCUGCUGCUGAGGAUGGCUCUUGAGGACCGGUGACCUACAGCACUGCCACAGUUAAGUUGAGGGGCAAAGGGUGUUGGGGCAUCCUCAGUUUCUGUGUAUGUGUGUGUGCGUGGUGAUGUUCAGUGUAGAGUGGAGGGUUGUUCUGGAUGAGUGGUGUGUGUGAGGCAGAGGCAGUGGGGUGUGCAUGGCAGAAAGCGAGGGUGGAUGUCAGGCAGGGCAGCUCCAGCCUGUGUCUGUGUUGUUGUGUAGUCUAUGUGGUGUGUGUUGUAGCUGUGCUAUCUUUUGCUCAGGUCUUGAUGUUGCUCUUGCUCUUUGUGCUCAAGGAGCACAGCCUAUGCUCUGCAGCAGUAGUGUGGCAGGCAUCCAUUGUCUUUUGCCUGGCCAGACUCAUCAGCAUUGCUCCAAUGGACUACGUCUUGUUCUGCAUAGGCAGCUGAAAGGGGUGGUCUGUGACUCUGACUGUGCAUCGUGGCCGUUUGCGGUCCGUCAUAGUCGUGGCCACCGUUGAGGCCUCAUUGGCCACACCUCU